rnacentral:lncRNA from 1 species
GGAUGUUUCUGAAGUCUCGGAAGCUCGAUUCUGGGAACUGGUACCAGGUCAUUGCAUUGGAUCUCUCUCAGUUCAGGUAUAUGUUAUAAAAUGCUACUGAAGAGGACUAUCACCCCUGAUGACAGAAUACUUAUCUCAACAUUCUCUAGAUUGCCAGUCAUAAAUUCUUUUUUCAUUUGUUUAAAUUCCAGCGAUGGUGAAAAUAUGGUCAAAUUAUCAUGCAUGGGCAAAGAUGCUUCCCUUGCCAAGUUGUUUUACCAUGUCAUGCUAGUGAAGGCCUUGAUAAAAUGCAUUUAGUUGUGCUCAUGUUUGGGUGCCUUAUUUUGGCACAGCUUUUCAUUGGACCACACAUGCUGUAAAUUUAGUUAUAAGAUAGACAUGUAAGAAGCCUCGAGGAGAUGGCCAUGCAAGGUGAUGUAGUUAAUGGAGUUAGUGGGUACCAGGCGAUGCAGUUAAUGGAGUUGGGACCCUGCAUGCAUAGCUUUUAUCCAGAUUGAAAGGGCUUUUGGCCUAUAUAAUGCCAUAUGACUGUC